rnacentral:lncRNA from 1 species
CCUAAUGCUGGCUGAAUGGAAAAGUUCAGUUUAGGGUUAAAAACCCUAAUGCUGACUAAAAGGAAAAUUCAGUUUAGGGUUUAAAACCCUAAUGCUGAUUACAUGGAAAAGCUCAGUUUAGGGUUUAAAACCCUAAUGCUGGCUGAAUGAAAAAAUUCACUUUAGGGUUUUAAAACCUUAAUGCUGAUUGCAUGGAAAAGGUUCAGUUUAGGGUUUAAAACCCUAAUGCUGAUCGCAUGGAAAAGCUCAGUUUAAGGUUUAAAACCCUAAUGCUGGCUGAAUGGAAAAAGUUCAGUUUAGGGUUUAAAACCAUAAUGCUGACUAAAAGGAAAAAUCAGUUUAGGGUUUAAGACCCUAAUGCUGAUUGCAUGGAAAAAGUUCAGUUUAGGGUUUAAAACCCUAAUGCUGAUUAAAAGGAAAAAUCAGUUUAGGGUUUAAAACCCUAAUGCUGAUUGCAUGGAAAAGCUCAGUUUAGGGUUUAAAACCCUAAUGCUGGUUGAAUGGAAAAAGUUCAGUUUAGGGUUUAAAGCCCUAAUGCUGACUAAAAGGAAAAAUCAGUUUAGGGUUUAAAACCCUAAUGCUGAUUGCAUGGAAAAAUUCAGUUUAGGGUUUAAAACCCUAAUGCUGAUUAAAAUGGAAAAAGUUUAGGGUUAAAACCCUAAUGCUGAUGGCUGGGGACAAACUUCGAGAACAACCACUGACUUCUCUUUUUUUUUUUUGAAUUUUCUUACUUUAGUACAAGAAAUAAAAGGGAGUUUCGUGGAAACUUACCUUUCGAGUGAAUUCCUUAUUGCCAAAAUGUUUCUUGUACCCAUGUACCUUCUUCUUUGGGCGACACCUGCCUCUUGCACGGUUGUCUUGGAUUAAGCCUGUUUGAACUUUUUCAGACAAAGAACACUUGUUAGUUCGGAAAAUGACGGUCGAUUUGGUGACCUUGAUCCUUCCCGGUUGCCUUGUUGCAUCUUCAUUUCUGUCGCGAAGUCCCGCUAUUGAUUCGAUUCAUAUGUCGGAACCCUUUAAACUGUUCAAGCCUGCAUUUCCAUAUUCUGUGAUGAUUUGCCUCGUAAGGCUCCUUUUCUUUUCUCUUUUUUUUGUGUCCCGUUU